AUUUUCUUUCUCUCUUUUCUGCUCCUGCCUCUCUCCCUUUUUUUUCUUCAAUGAAAAUUCACAGAUAAUCAUAUGUGCUCAGUUGGAUUUCGAUUUCACAUCUCUUUUUAUUAUCAUAUGUGUUAUGGGUUCUUGUUUUAGAUCGGUAAUAUCCUUUUCAUGUUGAUGAUUAUGAUGAAAAAACGACAGUUUAUACUGUUUUCUUACCUAUCCUUGAAAGAGCCUUCAGAUCUUUUCUUCAAGGAACGCAGAUUAUGAGUUGGAGGUCUGUUUGGUGUUGAAAUCAACAAGCAGUCAUUGAUGAUUGUAUCUAUUCCUAAUAUCAUAUGUUGGCUAUCCAUUUCAUUUUCCAAAGAUUCAUUGUUUUUAUACAUGGGAAGGUUAUUGGAAGGAUUUGGCGUGGGAGUCAUUUAAUACUGUAUAGUGAUGUGGUUACUUAUUGCGAUCUGUUUCCUCAAAUUCUAGUUUGUAUGAAGAUGAUAGAAGUUGUAUGACAUGGCUGGACAAACAGCCAGAGAAAUUUUUGUUUGCCAUAUGAGAGAACCUAGUGAAUGUACAAGGCCAGAUGAAUGCCAAAAAGACCAGCUCGAGAAGGUGAAAUAAGACAUUCAACAACUUAAAAAUAAUCCUCAUGGGUUACUUUUCGAAGCGCCUCAUUCUACGUGAUACACUUGUGCACUGGCGAAUCCCCUUUUAGCUCCUGAAAAUGCUGUAGAUAGAUUAAAUGGAGAGCUCUUGGAGAACUUUUUUGCUGAAAAUACAUAGUUCCUGGUAUUGUACUUUCUGGGUAUGGACUUGAACACGAGGAGAUACUAUCUAUUGCAAAGCCACUUCUAUCUGACCUUCCUGCUGUUUCUCAUCCUAUGAAGCCAAAGUCUGUGUAUAUUGCCUUCCCUACAGGUUGCUCUCUGAAUUGGUUUGCAUCUAAUUGGACACCGACUGUUAGAUGGAUGUCUAUGAGAAGAUGCAGGGUAUUUGAUUAAGUCAUAAUAUAAAAGAUUGGGUUUGAGUUCAAUUCUGGAUUUGGCAGCAAGAUGAGUUGUGUCGUUCAGUUUUUUUGUUAAUGGAGACAAUAAGGGAGUCUGUGUUGCUAUUGGUUGAGAUUCAGAUGAAGAAGGAAGUGAAGGAUGGGUUUUUUUUCUCCGGUGAGCCGAUUUUUUCAUUUUGUGUUUCAAAUUUCGCCUUAAUUUGUUUUUUGUUGGUGUUGUUUAGGCUUCUGGGAUACUACUGGGAGCAGUUACUUUACCUUCUGUUCUGCUCUCUUGGUUUAUGCAACUGUCGAGAGCGGUCGAAUCCAAAGAUGUCAGUCUUCAAGAGCUUCAUUAUUUAAUUGUUCAAUUUCGGUUCGCACAUAGAGGUGAAAUUAUUUCGGGUGUUCUGUCAUGGAUUAGCAGCGGUGAGGUUAAUUCAGCACUUCCUUCACACUUUUCCAUCAUGCACUUCCAUAGUAUAAUGAACUGAGGCAUGGAUAAUGUACACUAUAUUGAGCUGCCACUUAUGAACUCUGAACUUCCUUAGGGUUUGUAUCAAGCCAACCAAGGAUGCUUUGCUCCAAUUUUUUGUUUUAUUACUUCCUGUGAUUAUCUUGAUGACAAAAGUUUUGCGCAUCCUAAAAGGGUCCAGAAACUUGUGAAGAAGUUUGCCUUUGAUGGUUCAGCCUGUUGCCUUCCACAUCCUGCAGUGAAAUUUCUGAAGUUGAGCAUCACAUUCCUCCAGCAUUAGCAUAUGGACCGGAACCUGCAUGAUGUGGCCAUAUGUAGCAUAUGUAUGCUCCUCUGAAGUUGUAGAGAUCAAGAUGGAUAAAUGCAAAAACAAAACUAGAAUGCAUUGUAUUUCAGCAUGGCUAUAGAGAAAUCGACUUCUCUGCAGAUGAUUUAGCCAAGAGAGAAGCAACAUUAAAAGUUGGUGAAAGAAUGGUAUACUCUGGAAGACCUGCUUUUUUGAAAAGAGUAGAAAUGCCUAAUGUAGUCUAUUACAGGUUUUGUUAGGUUUUCAUUUUUAUGUCUUUUUCAUGUUCUUAUUAUUUUUUAUGAUGUAAAACUUUUGUAAUUUGGCCAUUCAAUUAAUAAAUAUAUGUGAUUAAGCAAA